GGAGAACAGUGACUCUGUGAGCUGGCCUGAGAGAGACACUGGCCCCUUUUAAAGCGGACAGAGUCAGAAUGGCAUGUUCUGAAAGGGCAGCGUUGAUAGCUGAAACUAGGUAUCCCUCAGGCUGGGACUGUGGGAAGCCUGAGAGCAUCCUGGGCACCAGCAGAGUGUCCAGCAGCCUCGGGAAGGAGAGGGCCCAGUGGAAAGCCAGGUGGAUCUGAUUGGUGGGGAGGGUGAGCAAGGGAAAUUGCCCAGGGGGUGCGUACAACCCGCCAGGCAGAAGAAGCAGGAGCCAGGGGCACCUGGACAAGAAGCCCCAUAAGAUGUUCAAGAGGAGCUCUGGACAGGCGCUUGGAUAUACUACUGGACCUGGCGGGAGACCCAUCAACACCCGAUUUCUGUGAGUCAAGGUGGGGUUAGCCUGUGGCACGGCAAUCCACUCCAAGCCCUUCCUAACACAUUCCACACACUGGAAAAACAGCGCUCAGAGCCUGCAAGAGAAGUGACCCACUGAAAACAUCCCCAGUUGGACAGAAUUCACCACCUAACACCAGGUGUGGAGCGUGCUUGUAAUCCCAACACUGGGAGAUGGAGGCAGAUGGAUCAGAAGUUCGAGGUCACCCUCAGAUGAGAGCUGGAGGCCAGCCUGGGAUGCAGAAGACACUGUCUCAAAAAACAAACAACAAAACCCUCUGACCUCAGAAUCUCUGCUGUGUGACUUUGAGAAAAUUUCCUAACUCCUCUGUGCCUUACUUACCCCAUCUGUGAAGAGAGCAUCUAGCUUGUGAACAUCUUAAGGGCACACCAGCUCUGCAUGGCCACCUGUGGGCCAUCCUGGCCCCAGAAAUCUGCUUAGGGGCUCAUUGGGACUCCUAGAAGAGAGUCCCAUGGGGCUCCGAGGAGGAGACCGAGGAGACCACAGACACCGCUGGGCCCUGAGCACUGCACAUGAGCAGCCAUGAGGAGGUUUGAAGCCACCCAGGAGGGGGGCUGCAUGGGCCAGCCGUCUGGACAAGGGCCAAGACGCCGCCGCAGACUGUUGAAGGCUCACUCUCUACUCUUCUACUGACACCAGCGACCACCCAGCCCCGCCAAGCCACAUGGCCUCUUGCUUGCCUGAUGUAUGAGACGCCCUAGCCUCCAAGCUUCCGGUUGGCGAGUGAGGUGAAGCUGGAAGACCUGCUGUGUCCCUGUCACUACCUGAGCCCGAGACAGCUGUGUUCCAGAGCAGCGAGGUGGAUGGGACUCCAGGUCUUCUGACAAGUGUCUCUGCCCUUCUAAGCCUCUUACAAUCAGGGCCAUCACCGUGGAGUAGAUGCCACGCCAUGGGUAGAUGCCACCUCCUGCUCAAACCUUCAGGACUAGGUCUUAACCAAGAUUGACUCCUUUGAGGCACGACACAAGACCUCAAGUGUCAGAAUGAAAAGGAAACGUGAGUGAGACUCAGACUGUUCCAGGAAGCCAUUGUUACAAUGUGGUAUGAAUUACAGCACUGCCCCUGUGGACUGAGAAACGCUACAUUUGGUUCUCUCUGAACUUGGCUCUGAUCCUGAGAGGUCCUAGUCAGCCCUGCUUUCUGGGUCCUCCCUCCUCAGUUCAGGCUGCCUAGGGGCCCUGGCAAGGAAGAGCCUAGUUUCAGGAGAAGCGAGAGACCAGCCUAUUAUACAUGGACCGCCAGGCUCUGAUGUCUCCUCCACCCACGCUGAGGAGAGACACUGGAAUCUUCCAUCUCGGGAUCCCUGGAGAAAAUGCCUUUUUCUCAGUGGGUCUCGAGGAAGCCAUAUCCUGCCAGGGGUCUGUGCCCUCCUGUACUCGGAUCUGCCUCCCCUCUCCUGGACCUCAUAAUGCUCUCCUGGGUUGGGGCUUUUGAAAUCUGAGACCUCUGACAUCUCCCUGACACAUCCUAACUUCAUGUUGGCUACAGUGACCACAGCAGAAAGACUAUGGAACUAAAGCAGUCCAGCAUUUGUACAACAGGCAUUUGCCUUUGUGACAAACCAGGGACAGAAUCAGGCUUUUGACCUUCAAACUGGGUGCCUGGGUCACAGCUCCAGGUCAGGUUCCUCCGGCUGGGGUUGGCAUGUUCCACAGACGCCUGAGUUUGAACCCCAGAAACCCACAUGGUGGGAGGAGAGGACUCCUGAAAGUUGUCCUCUGCUUCAGGGGUCAUGUGUUACCUGAAGCCCUUACACACACACACACACACACGCACACGCACACGCACACGCACACUCAUGCACACGCACGCACAUGCACAUGAAGAGGUGGGAUUGCCCAUGGGAGAGAGGAGAAAAUGAGCAUGGUGUGACAGCUGAACUGAGCAGGUUUAUCUGAGACUUGAGGUCUGUUUCCAGCUGUACCACGGGGGCUCAGGGCAUGGCUCAGCUGGUCCAGCGCUAGCCUAGUAUACAUGAAGUCAUAGGUUCAAUCCCCAGCACCCCAUAUACUGGGCAUUGUGGUACAAGCCCAGUACGCGGGAGGUGGAGGCAGGAGGGUCAAGAGUUGGAGGUUCAGAAGUUCAGUCAUCCUCUGGCUAUGACGAGUCCGAGUGAGGCUUGGGAUACCGGAGACCCCGCCUCAGAAAAUACACAAAUAAAGGUCUUAGAGUCCUCAGACUUUCUCUCCUUAAGAGAAAGGAAAAGAGAAAGAGAGAGGGACAGAGAGAGACACAGGAAAACAUUGUAAUCUGAAUUUUAAAAAAAACCAACAGAGUCGAUUACUGGGCAGCUGUCCAAAGGAAAACAUAGAACUUCAUCUAGUAAAUUAUUUUAAAAUACUACCAACAGGCUUUGCAGGUGCGUGGAGGGGAAGGCAUUAGUAAACCGCCCAUUUCCUGCCGGAGAAGGGCCAAUGGAGGUCACCCCAUAAAUCACACACCCCCAGGCUAAUCACCUGCCUCUUCCUCGAGUCUCCUCCUGCUCAGCCAGCCUCACACAGGUAGGUAGGCAGCCCAGCACAGGUCUACCUUAAUUCCGCUCUCCUGAGGGCCUUUCUACUGAAAUGCUCACCACCUUCCCCGGCGGCGGCGGCGGCUGGCAAGCCUGGCAAAUGAUUAACUGGCUGGAGCGCUCCCUCUGCCAGGGCAGCCUACCAGCUCCUGCCCGGGGCAUCAGCUGCCUCCAGCUUUGGGGGGGUCUGGAAAUUCUUUAGUCAUCUCAGGCAUUUUUCCAACAUAAGGCAUUUGCAUAGACUUCUCAUCUAGCCUAAUAACUAGAGAGAAAAACAGGAGGGUUUUGGUCCAGUAGCUUCAACAGGUGUCUGAGGAAGUGGACGCUUGCCUUGGGUGGGCGUUCCAUGUCCUUGUCGAUCAUGAGCUGGAUGAGCAAGGGGGCCCUGGGAAGUGAAGUGGGAAUGGGAAGCCUAAGGCUGUCCUUGGGAGUCCUCCACUCGGACCCCUCCCUCCUGAAAGGUACUUACAGUCACACCCAUUUGGUUUCUCUUUUUAGUUUUUGCUUUUGAGACAAAGUCUUGCUAUGUAGUCCAGGCUAGCUUUAAACUAAAUCCUCCUGCCUCUGUGUUCCCAGUGCUGGGAUUAAUAGGCCUCCACCAUCUCACCCAAUGAUCUCACGUGCUUUUAUUUUUACAAAAUCAAAGCUGAUUAAAACCAGGAUGAAACAGCAACGAACAAAAUGUAAAAGACGACAAUAUCAAGUGUGGACAAGGAGGAGCAGCCACAGUUUACAGUUGUUGUGGAGAUGAAUUAGGCUGAUGACUUGUUUCAUCCCCAAAGAGGAGAUUCUGCACGCUCCACACUCCUCUUGUGGACCUUGGAGGCAAUGAUAUGGGUGUAUUCAUCCCAGCGGCCUCUGUGGUGCUCACUUAGAAUCAGGAUGGGUUUUGUUGAGCUCUGUGCUCACAGCUCACUCAGUGCUGGUCCAUUUUCCUCAUCAGUUCGUGAACUCUGCUGUCAUGGUUACAUUUUUAUUCCCAUGGCCUUGUACAUUGUAGUUGACCAACAAGCCAUCUGUGGCUGAAUGUAGCUAAAAGCACGGCUUUGCGCUGGGUAAAAAGGACCAUAGUAAGUAGAAAACGAGGCCUCUGUUGCCACAGGCUACUCCAUGGCUAGCCACCAGGUAAAGUCAAGCCUGAAGCAGAGAUGGAAGGAAG